GACGAACGCUGGCGGCGUGCUUAACACAUGCAAGUCGAACGGAAAGGCCCUGCUUUUGUGGGGUGCUCGAGUGGCGAACGGGUGAGUAACACGUGAGUAACCUGCCCUUGACUUUGGGAUAACUUCAGGAAACUGGGGCUAAUACCGGAUAGGAGCUCCUGCUGCAUGGUGGGGGGUGGAAAGUUUCGGCGGUUGGGGAUGGACUCGCGGCUUAUCAGCUUGGUGGUGGGGUAGUGGCUUACCAAGGCUUUGACGGGUAGCCGGCCUGGGAGGGUGACCGGCCACAUUGGGACUGAGAUACGGCCCAGACUCCUACGGGAGGCAGCAGUGGGGAAUAUUGCACAAUGGGCGGAAGCCUGAUGCAGCAACGCCGCGUGCGGGAUGACGGCCUUCGGGUUGUAAACCGCUUUCGCCUGUGACGAAGCGUGAGUGACGGUAAUGGGUAAAGAAGCACCGGCUAACUACGUG
rnacentral:rRNA from 1 species